CUACGGGCCGCUGCAGUGGGGAAUUUUGGACAAUGGGCGCAAGCCUGAUCCAGCCAUUCCGCGUGAGUGAAGAAGGCCUUCGGGUUGUAAAGCUCUUUCGCAAGGGAAGAAAACUUAUCCUCUAACAUAGGGUGAGGUUGACGGUACCUUGAUAAGAAGCACCGGCUAACUACGUGCCAGCAGCCGCGGUAAUACGUAGGGUGCGAGCGUUAAUCGGAAUUACUGGGCGUAAAGCGUGCGCAGGCUGUUUUGUAAGUCAGAUGUGAAAUCCCCGAGCUCAACUUGGGAACUGCGUUUGAAACUACAAGACUAGAAUAUGUCAGAGGGGGGUAGAAUUCCAUGUGUAGCAGUGAAAUGCGUAGAGAUGUGGAGGAAUACCAAUGGCGAAGGCAGCCCCCUGGGAUAAUAUUGACGCUCAUGCACGAAAGCGUGGGGAGCAAACAGGGUUAAUACCCCGGUAGUC
rnacentral:rRNA from 1 species